UAGGAGUUGGGAUGAAGAAGUUAUCCCACUUUUAAAUCAGGUAAUUCCAGUUUCGCAGUUUCGGAAUAGGAUAUCUUCUUCGUCGUUCCAAUCAAGGCAGGAUGAAUUACUUUCUAAGAAGCUUGAUUUGGAUACAUAAAGUGUUUGAGAAUCACCAGGACGUUGAAUAAAUCUCAUAGGAGUUGGGAUGAAGAAGUUAUCCCACUUUCAAAUUAGGUGAUUCCAGUUUCCCAGUUAAGGAAUAGGACAGCUUCUUCGUCGUUCCAAUCAAACCAGGAUGAAUCACUUUGUAAGAAGCUUGAUUUGGAUACAUAACGUGGUGGAGAAUCACCAGGAAGUUAAAU